ensembl:lncRNA
GUGGAAGCUGAAUUAGUGAGGAUGACUCCUGCUCCUGUCAUCUCUAAGCUCCUCACACAUCUUUACCUGCACAUGAGGAAAAUCACUCCUGUAGAAUGCAGUGGUUCAUCAGAACCUCUGGGGAUCCUGUGGAUUCUGUGGAUCCUGUGGGUUGCAGGGUGGAUCCUACCUAGACCAGGCUGAUCCUGGACCAUCCCACAGAUGCUCCAUCAGAUCUGGAUGUGGGGAGUGUGGAACCCAGAUGUUCAGAGGGAGAUGAUGCCACAUCUGGUCCAGCUGAUGGAAGGUCUUGAAGUUCUCUGACUGGCCUCGACUGAAGAUGGUCGUCUCACUGGAUUUAAGGUUCAGAUGCUCAGUAACAAACUCCACCAAUGAGCCAACAGGGAAGCUUUAGGUUUAUUAAAUGUUGCUAUGAAGGUUUCACUGUUUUUCUUUGUGAAUGCAAUGAGCUCCAACUGAAAGUUGAAUUAGAACUUAGAAGUAAAUCCUUCCAUCUGAAAGGAUUUAGUUGCAUUAAUAACCUCAUAACAUUCUAAUUUUUAUUCCAGUCUUGGUUGGAAAUAGAAUCUCUGUAUUGAUUCAGGUAAAAACUGAACUUCACAGCAUGUUGGAGCAAAACAACCAGAUGAAAACUGUGAUGGUGUUGGAUUGUCAGACCGUAAUGUUGCAGCUCAAAGCAGCUUUUCUAGCUCAGUUCAUUCUGACAUUCAGCUAUGAAUCAACACAGCAGAUGGUGAUCCAUGCUGUGGAAGUCUCACAUCUCCUGAUUUAAUGGAGCUGCUUUGCACUUUUUACACUGUUUAUUCACCAACUCUUUAUUUAAUAAAAGUCCCAUCGAGUUUUUAUGAGGAAUGUGAUGUUUUAAUUUCUCUGUUAAUAACUGCAGUCUAAUGGAACAGCUGGAGUUGUAACAUCUGUCCUGAUAUUGAUCAUGAAGUAUUGAUCAGAUUACUUAUGGUCAGCAGUCAUCCCUGAAGUUUUACUUUAAAAUCUUUACUUGUGUUGUGAACUUUAGUAAGAAGCAGAAACGUUAGCGUUGCCAUGGAUACAUGAGUGUUAAAUUCUGUCCAUGUUUCCAUUUUGGGAAAUUCAGUCCAGCAGAUGAGUUUGUUUUUACUGCCAGCUACCAUUCAGUCUGAGAUAUUAAGAAUAAAUAAAUAUGCAUAAUGUGGAAAUGAACAGAUUUUAUUUUUAUUUAUUCCUACAGCUGCUGCAUUUAAAGUUCCAGAAUGUGGAGGAAUUUAGGAUCACAAUCACAGACAACAAAUAUUAUAUGAAAGUCAGGUUGUUGUUGUUUAUCAGCACAAUACAAAAAGAUUCAUGUUAGAAAUAUUCCAGUUAAGACUCUAGAAUAUCAUGAUUUAUGUAAAUUUACCUCAAUAAUAUGAAUGUUCAGGUUAAGAUUGUACAGUGAUAUUUAUUAUGUAAGUUUAGCUGAUUAAAGUUUAUGACUCUGCACUAAAAUAUUAUUUAAACUGACAUCAUUAUUAUAAUAUUUAGGGUCAGACCCUACAGUAUUGAGAUUAAGAAAUCAAAUAUUCUAUAAAAUGUAAAUACACUGAACUCAUUUGGAUGUAUUUAAGUGAGACUCUACAAUAUUAUUUGACACAAAUCUAUCUAAAUCAAAAUUUGAAUCAUUUUUACUCCAAACAUUUACUGGACUGAUUUAAAUAUUAAAAUCACUCCUUUCUAAUCCUCUGCUGUACGUUCAAACCUGAGGCCUUAAAUAGAAACACACAAGUAUCUGAUUGAAGGAACUUCUGCAGAGUCCUGGUUCCAGAACAUGAUGAUAGAAUUAUAGACAAACUUUAACAAAAGCUGCCUGAGAGUUUACAGCUUUUUAUGUUGGAUUUCUUCAGUAAUUUAAUGACAGUUAUCAGCAAAAAUCAAUGUUCAUUUGAUGAACUUCAUUUCUAAAAACAUCCAGAAUUGGAGCUCAUAUCUUUGGCAGCUGUAAAGUUUCUGCUCCUUCAAAGUUCACAACACAAUGAAUGAAUUCCUAAAACACUCUCAAUGCUGGAGAGCGUUUGAUGCUGAAGCAGUGACCAGUUUUUCUGUUUCUUCUCUGGAGAUGCACAAUGAGGGACGUCUGCAGAGACUGAGAAAGAGUCUCACCACAUCCUGACAUGAGGAAAAAGACUUUAUUGAAGACUACAAUGAGAAAAACUAUCAGACAGCAGACGGCUGCAUUCAAGGUGAGCUCUGAACAUUUGAUCUGGAACAGGAAUUCAAUAACGGCAGCAUGAGCUUCAUUUCAGUCUGUAGCUGCUGAAUUCAUGGAUGAAUCAUCUGGCACUAGAGAGGAAGACCAUCAAACAUCCACGUCAGCUGAUGGAGGUCCAAGAGUCUCACCAAACAACCUACAGAUUUAGGCUGUUAGAUUGUUCCAGAUAAGACAAGUACAAGAUACUUCAGAGCCGUUCUACCACGAGCCUGACAGGAAGAACUCCAACAGCUACUGAAUGUUCCUGUGGUUCCCUCAAGGCUACAGGAGGAGUCCUACGAGGACGAGCCGGUCCACCUGAUGGAGGCCAGUCGCUGCGGUUCAAAGCCAACACGGACUACGUGGACUUCUACUGGACCACACGGAGGCCUUCAAACCGGACCAACAAGUUCACAGACUCCCCGACUCGUGGGUCUGAGGACGCCGCCGAGCCUCGGUCCAGCCGGCCUCCUGUCUGUGGGUGUUUGAGUGCUGAGAGGUUUGUGGAUGCAUGUGAACGUUCUGUGUUGAAACAGCAGCUUUGGACUCACUAACGCCGGGAAAAACCAAGAGCUCCUUUAUUUGUGACUUCCACUAAAAAACUGAUGAAAAUAAGUUUGCCAGGGUUCUGACUGAUAACAG